rnacentral:rRNA from 1 species
AGAGCUCAAAUUUUGAAUCUGGCAUCUUUGGUGUCCGAGUUGUAAUCUAGAGAAGUGUUUUCCGUGAUAGACCAUACAUAAGUUUCCUGGAAUGGAAUGUCAUAGAGGGUGAGAAUCCCGUUUGUGGUAUGGAUUACUAUUGCUCUGUGAUACACUCUCAACGAGUCGAGUUGUUUGGGAAUGCAGCUCAAAAUGGGUGGUAAAUUCCAUCUAAAGCUAAAUAUUGGCGAGAGACCGAUAGCGAA